rnacentral:lncRNA from 1 species
AAAAAAAAAAAGUUGUUUCCCUUAAGUCAUGAAAAGAAGAAAUAUUGUUUUUGGUUCCGUUUGAUUUAUCAAUCAAUAUGGCCUGAAUCAAUAUGACCACUGAGAUAAUCAUCCAAAUCCAGAGAUAUGCAUGGUCGUCGCCCUCGUAUUAGAGAGGGUUGUGUGCAUGCUCAUAGGCUUACUUACAGUCCAAUUGACCUCACCAAAGUGAUAGAUUCCUUUCCCAAAAUCUUUUUGUGAAUAUGAAUAACAUAUUUCUUGAUGAUUUUUUUAUAGAUGCAACAGUAAAAAAUCUGUCGGAGGAUCUCUCGCCUACAUUUUAGUUUGCAUAAAAAAUGUGAAGUUUGGUUUACAUUUAAUGUAUACGAUUAUGGAUGUGGAUCUAUCGAUCUGUGUAUGUCAUUUUGAUGAUUCUUGGACGAGUGACGGUGCAACUAGUGGUUCUUGAUGGAUUAAUGGCACAUCCAGUUUAUUGGGUGAAAUCUCAACACCUUCAUCUUUAAACUCCAUAAAUGAUUUGGACAAUGAAAUGUCAACAACAUAAUCACGAUUUAUUUAUAUUUUGUGAAGGUUUUUAUAUGAUGACUUCUGCACCAAAGUUACAUGAAUUAGCCAUGAUUAUUAAGUUUUUAUCUAAAAGUUACAUGAAUUAGCCAUGAUUAUUAAGUUUUUAUCUAAAAGUUACAUGAAUUAGCCAUGAUUAUUAAGCUUUUAUCUAAAAGUUACAUGAAUUAGCCAUGAUUAUUAAGCUUUUAUCUAAAAGUUACAUGAAUUAGCCAGGAUUAUAAGUUUUUAUCUAAAAAUGAGUUAAUUCGUCAAUUACAUAUACAAACAACGUUUAGGCAGAUUUCGUUGCUUCAAUAAUUAAAACGUUUAAAUUCUAUUUCGUUGCUUCAAUAAUUUAAAACGUUUAUUCUCUUUAGUAACUUUAGUUGUGAUGCAUCGAACUUUGUUUGUAUAAUAAAGUUGCAUAUGCUUGUUGACACAAUAUUCUCAGUUUUCUAGCAUUGAUAAGCAUUUGUAGACGAUCAAAGAACCAUGUAGGAUACAAAUUAGUUGUCAAUAAUCUAAAAUACAAGUUAUAAUGACUUUGUACCUUACAAUCUUACACCACUUAUACAUUACAAUUCUGUUGGUCCAAACCACCUAAGAAAGAAAAAAAGAAAAGAUGAAGAUCGUUAUACCAAACAAAAAAAAACCCGCCAAUUUUCUAAAUUAACCCUUUUUAUUAGUAAAGUUUUCUAAAAAUCAACUUUUUUUUUGUCAACAACUAAAACCAAUCUUAGUCAAAUUUUUGAGUUAUCCAAAAGAAGUCGACAUUUUCGUUAGUUCCAAAAUAGCUCAAACUUUAGAGUUAUCUAAUUUUUUUGAUGAUACUACGUAACAAGUUUAACAUUCAAAAAUUACUCUAAUCGAAACAAACUUGAAAGAAAAAAACUGCUGUGGAAAUAAAUAAUACGCGUUAUCUUGAAAAAAAUAGGAAAACUAAACGCGCGAUUUGGUCAAUGUGGUCGUGGAUGGGUCACCUAAUCUUUUUAAUUUCCCUCUAAAAAAAGAAGAAAUAAAUUUUCUCCCAAUUUCCUCGAAGAAGAACAUUAGAAAAUAAAAUGUCAGGAACUGAAAAAAACUACGAAACCAAUCAGAUUCGGCCAUUUCUUUCCCUCUUUUCUUUUUUCUCCCAAUCACUCUUCAGAUUCCGAAAAAAAAAGCAAACAAAGAAAGAAAAAAUAGAUUCUUUAUCACCGGAGUUUUCACCGGACUCUUAAAAGAUGAAUACGCCGAACUGGGAACUCCGGAGUUGCUGUAACCGAAACCAGAACACGUUCCUCAUCACCAUCGGAAUCUUCACCGUCGUUAUCCUUGUGGUUAGUUUUUCCCAUCUAAUGUCCUUGAGAGAAAGAGUUUAAAGUUUUGACCUUUACUUGUUUUCUUCGAUUCAAAUUGAAGAUCCGACAAAUUUUUUUGUAAAAGUUAGUUUAAAGGGUAUCUCGAUUGUAGUGUUUUAUGCAACUGUUGACUUAUAAUUUCAUUCAAAGUUUGUGACUUUUGGCAUCAUAAAGUUUCUAUAUUUGUUCUUGUUUCUUAAGAUCUUCACAGAGAUUUCUUGGUUUUGUUUUUAACAGCUAUGGAGGACAUUUCUAUUGACUCCAUUUAAACUAAUCACGGUGUUUUUGCACGAAGCGAGUCAUGCUGUUGCUUGCAAGCUCACAUGUGGAGAUGUAAGGAAGCUCUCUCACUUCAACUACUACUUCAAUGAAACUAAAAAAGGUUACAAAACUGAUUUUAGGUGUAAACCCUUAAUUCAGUUUGUAAACUUGAAUUGUCCUUUUGAUUUGUUAAAUUAUACUGGUUGAUUUGUGAUCCACUUUGCGAGCAUAACAUCUCUUUAGAUAUGCACAUUUACCAGUCGAAAGGUUUGCUUUAGCAUUGAUGUCUCUGCAUUUUCUCUGGACAUGACUGUUUAGCAUAGAGUGGAUUUUAGCAUCUUGAUUCAGUUUGCAAACAUAAACCGUCUGCUUCGAUAUGGAAAAAUACACUUGGAACUCAGACUAAUUUUAGGUUCCUUGAAAGUUUAAAUGCGGUCGGGGUUCGCUUUGAAUAGGCAGAGAAGAUGUUUUUGUUAUCAUCCACUACUCGCAUGGCUUUCUUUAGCAACAAUACCUUGUGUAGAUUGCUUUAGCAAUGUUUGUCUUUGGAUAUGGCUGUUUAGCACGAUCGUAAAGUUGGCAUCUUGAUGUCGAGUUACGAUAUCCUUAUUUAUUGUGCCAUUCGCUAUAUUCCUCAUUUGGUAAACAUUGUUUUAUCCUCACUUGUAUAUGAUUCUCGCUCUAUUGCUAAUAUGUAAACUACUAAUAUACGAAUAUACGUCAUUAGUCUAAGAAGCCAAGACACACAGUUAGCUCAAACCUUAGCUUUAGGUCGACCGUAGCGUAGGACUAAAUGUUAACAGAUUAUAGCUGGCUGCUGGUCUGAGUUUGUGAGAAAGCAGUUAGUGAAAGCGAAAUCUGUAAAGAUGUCUCUGCAGAUUGUUAAGGCUGUAGAAUUUAUAGAAUUUGAUUGGGAUUCCGGAUGAAAGCCUUUUCAUUAAUAAGUUUCUCUAGUUGGUGAGUGUUAUAAGAAUAGCAGUGUACAGCUUAGCUCUUAUCAUAGUUCCAAUAAUGCAGAAAAGAUAGUAGAUAAGUUACACCGCUCAGCCCAAAAAAAAUCUUUGAUUAUGUAUUGAUUGCACAUUAUUUUCAUCAAAUGCGUGCAACAUUCUCUAUGUUAAUCUGCAACUUCAUUUUUUCAGUUUGCACUUUGCACAGUCGCAUAUAAUAUGGAUAUUGUGUGCCUAAAAACAAAUGUGGCUAAUUUUUGUUUGAACUUAAUCUUCUUCGUAUUGAAUCAAAAAGGUGGAGGGGAUGGAGGUGAAUGCAAAUGAAGGAGGUUCCACAACAACACGUGGCGGCAUCUAUUGGCUGAUCUUACCUGCUGGCUGUAAUAUACAAUCUGUCUAUCUCCCUUAAACAAAUCAACCAUUUUCAAAUUUGGACCUUCCAUUGUUGAUGGCUAAAAGUGUUACAUAUAUAUUUGUUGUAAUGGUUAUAGAUCUUGGCUCAUCAUUUUGGGGAAUGGCUUUGAUUCUUGCAUCUACUAAUCUGCUUACAGCAAGAAUAGCUGCUGCUGGUCUCGGUCUUGCUUUAUUCAUCGUCCUCUUCAUUGCCAAAAACGUAAGUAGAAUUCAUUUUUAUCUCAUUGAGGCAUUGACAUCAAACCAAUGACAUCCAAAUUUUCAACCUUGACAGUGGACGCUUCGAGGUCUUUGUAUAGGUGUGCUAUCUCACGGUUCUUCUUGUUAAAUUUUUCAUUUUUUAGUUCUCAAAAUGAUAGUUGACAAAAAGAUUCUAACAAUCAGUGAAAAAGUCUCUCAGGUUUCAUAGUUUUCCUCGCUAUCAUAUGGGUUCUACAAGAGUUAACUACAGUAAAAAUUCUCCGUUAUGUCAUUCUGUUCAUCGGUAAAUGAACCUCAUUUUGUUCAGUCUUGUUAACAUGUUUGAGUUUCAUCUUCUCCGUAUGAAAGCCAGAUUCUUGAUAUUGCAGGUGUGAUGAAUAGCUUAUUCUCAGUUUACGGUAUGUGUUUCCUUUUCUCUCCCAAUAACUUCACUUAAAGUUAUGAACUUAUGAACAAGAAAGAAGCCUCAUUUGGUUUUGUUCUGCAAUGGCUAUUAGAUAUCUACGAUGAUCUGAUAUCGCGAAGAGUCCAUUCAAGUGAUGCUGAGAAGUUUGCAGAGAUCUGUCCUUGCUGUACUGGUUGUGGCUGGGGUGUCAUAUGGUGAGACUUUAAUCCAAUUUUACACACAAAAAACAACAAAUCUUUGUUUUUUCUUUGUUUCUGACCAAAAAUGGUUUUGAUUUUUCAGGGGAAUGAUAUCUUUUGCGUUUCUUUGCGCAUCAUUGUAUCUUGGGCUAGUGAUCCUAUCAUAAAAAGGUGUUCUUUUGGUUUUGGCUUUCUUGUUUUUUGUUAAGCACAUUUUUGCUUUUGAAUUUUGAUUAAGCGUUUUCAUGAUUUUUGUGAAUUUUUGGUGUCUCUCAGGUUUCAAAUUCUUUCCAGUGAACUGCGGAGUCUCCUUUCUUUCAUCUAUGCGCAGUUUUUUAACAGAAAACAUUUUUUUGAUUAAAAAGCUUGAUUCUUUAGAUCCCUUUGAUGUAUUUACAUUUGAUUGAAAGUUUAGGGUUUAUCAUUUUUUUUUUAUUCAUUUUGGAGUUUGUGUUGAAUAGAAUUCAUUGAUUGUUCUGUUUUAAUGCAUUGUAAGUCCGUUGAUCUUGUCAUCAAAACAAAACUCCGUCGACUUAUUCCUGUAAAUGGUCAUAGUAUCCUCGAUUAGACUUCGUCCUUUCUUCCAAAUUGAUACUUAAACACCAAAAUCUAUUAUAUAAAGACUCAGCUGAGUCUCACAAACUUGACACAUCAGCUUUCGAAAAAAAUAAUUUUCUCAAUUCCAAAAAAAUCUAAUUUAUCAGCCAUGACACAAGUACAAAUCUAGUUUCUAUCUAGAAAAGUCAUUCUCUUACAAUAAAAAGGAAAUGCAUUGAAUUUAUAGUGUUAUUACUUUGUAAACGACACCCGAGAAAAUUGAACGAGGCUAAAAUAAAUUCAUUUUUAUAAAAUGGAGCGGCAUUCCACCUAUUUUUCAUUUUUCUCUUACGCGCUUAAAAAGCUCCAGAAAUCAGGUAUAGCGCAACUGCAGUCACGUUCAUAACCAACAUUAGAAAAGAAUUAAGGUCUUGAAAUAACAUAUCCAAAAUGCAUAUUUCUUGUGUUAAUUUUGUUUUAGUGAUUGUGGUUUUUAGUGUUUCAGAUCAGAAAGGCGAUCAAAUACAUGGAUAUAAUCACUCUACUCUACGUGUCUACGAGGAGGAAAUGAUAACCAAUCCUUCUCUCAUAGAAAGAGAGCUAGGAUCAAGCUGUAUGUAGUGUAAUUACACACUAUAUAUAUAUAUAUAUAUAUUCAUUCCUAUUUUAUGUAUAUAUAUAAGAAAAACUUUAUGUGCCAUUAAAAAAAUUAUUUCUUGUUUCCAUAUUAAUUUAGAGUUUUAUAUGAUGUUUUUUGUUGUUCGCAAAACAUUGAAAAAACCAUAAAUAGUUUGUUUAUUGCAUGCAUGAAAAAUUAUGAUAUCUUUGUAUGCGUAAUGCUCUGGUGCCUAACAAUAUUAUUAGGUUUAGAGCAGAUGAUAUAACAAACGAAGUUGAAGUUUUAGAGGCAUUUUGUCUUCUGUUCAAUUUCUGUUUAUAGUUUUCGUACAUCUUAUAUAUAUACAUAAAACUGACAUAUAGUGAAUGCUUAACUCAAUCUAAAAUCAGUUAUAAAAUUUUCUUACGUAGCGCCUUAUUUCUCUGUCACAUAGACAAAAUUCUUUGUGUAUCAGGAGAAUGUAAUGCCCAAAUUUUAUCAUAUUUACUUUAUUGACGUCCGAACUUUAUAUUUUUAUAACAAAAAAUGAAUAUUUAGAAAGAAAUUAUUGUUUUUAAUAUUUAUUACCCUAAGCAGAACUCAAAGGAUUUGAGAUGAGAUUUAAAGCUAAGCUGAAACAAACAAACGCAAUAUUUUGUAUUUUAUUGUGUGUCUUUGAGUGUACGUAUUUUGUUAAUUUUAUUUCAUUAGUAAAAAAAACAGAAAAUAUAUAAUAAACAGACAGAUAUAUGUCUUAUUUUAAAGAGAUAACAAUAGAAAGUGAUUUGCGAUUACGUAAUUCUAUCAUGAUCUAGAAAAUUUAAAUUCGCACAUAUAUAUGUAUAUAUAUUAUUGAUCAACUUAACUAUUAUAUAUAUAUAAAUUACCGCGUGUACACGCGAAGUUUUAUCUAGUUAUUGUAAUAGUUGUGUACAAAAUAUCAUGGUGUAGAAAAUAAUUGUUGUAGUUAAAAAUUCAAUAAAAAAAAUAAUCAAAUUCUAUUAUAUGGAGGAAAAAUUUCAUAUUUUGUACUCUUAUUAAAUUUCAUAAUAUUUAAAAGUAAAUUUCCAUUUUUCUUCAAAAUUACAGCGAAUAAAUCCUAACUUUUUUUGUUUGAUAGAUAAGCAAUCUUUUUUGUCUGAUGGUAUAAAGAGGUAUAUCGUUUGGAAUCUUCCGAGGUUCAUCUUGCAUUAUCUUGGUUCAUCUUCCAAUAUAUCUAUUGGUUUGUAGAUUAGGUUGAAGAAAAUGAGAAAAAUUUGUAGUAAAACCUUUCUUUGAAUAUUUCUGUUAUAACGAAUGCGAAAAAAUGAAGUUAUAAACAUAAGGAACACAACACAGAUUUAACGUGGUUUACCAACGAUGUGUUGGUUACUUCCACGAACAAAAAAACCUAUUUAUUAAGGGAGGCAAAAGGUUCAGAAAACUCUGAUGAAGGUUCUGAAUCAUAAUCGGAAUACAUCAGAAUCGGAAUACAUCAGAAUUAGGUAUCACAUAGGUAUUAUAACUACCUAGUUAACCCUAAUCAUUUUUGGACCUGUCGUUCACGCCUAUGUAACGUCCUUAAGCUGAUAGCUUCGACCCAUUACUCAAACCGACAAUCUGCAGUAAGCUUCGUAGCUUACACCUCAUCUGAAAACAACUCCGCAGCUUACACAAUCUGUAACCAACAUCUUCUACAGUUUGCUAUGUAGCUUGCACCUUCCAGAGGUCACACUUUCCGCAAGUCGCACCUUAUGGAAGUCGCACCUUACGCAAGUCGCACCUUACGCAAGUCGCACCUUACGCAAGUCGUACCUUCUGCAGGUACCUUCUGCAAGUUGCACAAUCUACAUUAUGCUCUGUAGGUCCGCACCUUCUGCAACUUGCACCUCUCACAGUCUCAGAUUUAAGGCACAUUAACAAAUCUCCACCUUGUCUUGAAUCGUCCAAACAGAUGUACCAGAUGCACUUUUACAGUGCCAGAUGUACCGAAUUUUUCAUUUGCCUCACACGUUUGAUAACACCUAAUUUUGACAUAUUUUCACCAUUGAUUUCAAAUGCUUUUUCAAAGGUUUUAAUCAGUUUUAGGAAUUUUUAUUAUGAUUUCCAUGUAUUUAUAGUUUCAAGACUUUUUUCAGGAAACUUAGGGAAAAUGAUGGCAAAAUGGAAGAAAUCCACUUUUUAAAGCUCAGAGUCAGACCGUCAGAAGUUCAGCCUCAAAUGAAGACUUUUUCAACGUCUGAUCUAGUUCAAAUUUGGAGACAAUCAAGAGGAGACAACCAGAUUUCCAUAGCACUUUACAUCACAAAGAUUCAAUUGUGCAAUCAAAAGAUACAUGGAGAACAAGCUGACCCAGUUUACCAGUCCUGGAAGACUCUCACCCGCGGCAAAAUCAUGUUUUACCUGCCCUGGAAGACUCUCACCCCCGGUGUACCUUAGGACGAGCCACAAGGCCCAACAUCAAAGCCCACUUCGCCAUUCCUCUUUAGAGAAGCCCUAAAUGAGACCUGGAAAAACUUAGGACCUAUAAAUACAUUGUUUAGCGGCUCCAAACAGGUGUGUGCUCCUGUAAUGAGAUUUUGAGCCACCAAAAUCUGUUUCUCUAGGGUUAGGCGAUGGAGAUGGGGAUUCUUCCCCAGAUCCAUUGUUCUUUCUCCUUUCAAUUCUACUAACUUUUCUGUUUCACUCUUUUGCAUUUUUCUAUGUCUUUUAUUAUUCCUUGCAUCAUGUAGAUCUGUCCCAGAGAGUCAAGUUGUUUUAAGAGUCAUCGAUGAUCAUAUAUAUCGAUUAGGAUUUCUAUAGUUCUAAACCAUAUUCUGGAUCUCAUCUCUUCUAAGUUGUUCAUAUUGCAUGAGAGUAGAUUCAUGACCUAUUUUCUGAGCCUAGGAUCGAUCAGAGCCAUGAGAGUGUUGUAUCAGAUCAUCCAUACCUAGCUUCAGAAGAACAUAGUCGCUAUAGGAGUCGAAAGCUACCCAUAGAGAAGAUGUGAGCAGACGAAUUCAAUGUCUAAUGCAUGAUCUUAUUUCUGUCAUGAGAGCGAGAGUUAAUUGUCAUAUCUAAGUGAUUAGUUGAUUAAGAUGACGAGAAUUAGUUAAUCAUACAUAUGUCUAUUGUAGUUCCAUGCAGAUUCCUAGAAACAGAUGAAGAUAAAUCGCCCGGAAGCUAAUUGUAAAUGCCACCAUACAUCGAUUAUAGUAAAUCGGAGAAGUCUAAAUUGCACCCUAUGAGUUUAAGAGUAUUUAGUUUGAGUCGAUAUGCUUGAGAUAUGCUUGAGAUAUUCUUUUAACAAUUCAUCAUGCAUUGCAUUUUAUCUCUUGUGAAUAUUAGAUUAGGUUUAGUUUAGGACUUUUAACUAAAAACCCCAAAACGUUUAUUGGUUUAUGAUUUUGCUUACUUCCCAGUUUGUUGUUUCUUGCAGAUUAGACAUUCUCCCUAUGGAUCGACACCCUAAGUUCUACAAUCUGUGCACUUUCAGAUUUUAGGGUUUUAUAAAUUUAAAACUUUCUUUAUGGACCAAUGAGCUUGUAUGAAAAACAACCCUAGGCCCGUAGCUCAUCAAAGUUUUUGGCGGCGUUGCCAGGGAGGUUCUUAGUCGCUGGAGGUCUAAACCUAGGAGGUUGAAGCCACAAAAGACAAUAUAUAUGUCGAGUUUCUGCCAAAAAAUCAUAGGAAGUAAACCAAACUCAUAAACACCCUAACUUUUUUUUUUUCUGCUUAUUCUCUCUUCUGUUUGCCCUAGUUUCAGAAAUCUUUGAAGCAUGGAUCAUCCAAGAAGAAAUCCUAACCCUGAUCGAAGGUUUUGCAACUUGUGUGAAGCUCCCUACGCAUGUGAAUCACCUUCCAGGCGUGAUUCCAAUCAUCCAGUUCGGCCAGAUCAUCCGAACCACCACCAUGGAAACUCGCGACCUCUACACCAUCGAGAUGAGCCCUUCACCUGGUGAAUCGUCGACCAUCUCAUCCUCUUUCUCAUCAGAUUAUGCACCAGAACUAUGAGGAUAAUCUGUUUAAAAUCCUGCUAAAUCGAUUGGAAGCCAAGCUGAAUCAGUUCCUUGCCUCCCAAGCCAUCAUCGAUGCUGCCCUGCGAACAAGGAUAGAUGACAUGACCGUCGACCUUAACAAAAGGUUUGAUGACCUCUCUGAGCAUGUGAAGAUACUGGAGAUCAGAUAAUCAAAGAUAAUGACGUGUCGAACCAGAGAAUGGAGUCUGUCGAAGAAGAGCAGGACAAAAACAAGUUCAACAUUCGACAAAAUGAAAGGGAGCUGCAAACCCUAACUUUCAAGAUCGAUGACUUGGAUAAGGAACUGAAUGAGAGCAAAAACCAGACCUACGACUACACAUUGGAGCUGUGGCAGGGCGUAGCUAAGGUUGAAAACAAGACAGAAGAGCUUGAUGCUACUCUAGACAAAGUUGUCUAUGCUGUAGAUGAAGUAGAAGAGAAAGUUGAAAAACUUUCUAAAGAUCAUAAGGAGUAUGAUCUGAACUCUAGAAUCAAUGAUUUGGAUACCCAAGACGUGCCUAACAACCACUGGAAGCAAGAGAACAAUAAUGGAGAAGAAGAGAUUUAAGAAGAAAGCAUAGAGAGCCGGAGGAAGCUGACCGCGGCUGCGAGUACUUCACCCGCGGCCAGAGCCACUUCCACCGCGACUCCAAGCUCCUCACCCGCGGUAGAGCAUGAUUUCUCAGAUUAGGAGAACUUCCAACCUCUUUCUGAAACCUGUUCAACUGCAGACCAACCCCUUGUGACCAGAUCUAGGUUGUUUGAUCAAGUUGUCUUCUCAAUCACUGCACAAGCAUCAAAAGAAAAGGAAGAAUCCAACACUUAUGAAUCUUGCAACAUAGUUUACACUUGUGACAAUGAGCUUCAAGAGCAAUUCUCAGAAGAUGAAGAGUAUGGUUUGUUUGUUGAAGAUCCAAACUAUGGGGACAAUUCAUCUAAUGACAACUCAGAACCAAUUACCAAGAGCAUAUCCAGAGAGAGACUGAUUGAAUUCAACAAUUUUGUGAAGUCCAUUCCUCUCUACCAUGGUUUCGACGACAUCUGGAAGCAAGGCUGCCUUCAAGUUUUUUUUUCAGAUAUAGCAAGAAGACUAAGGAGAACGUCUACACUUAUUUCAGAAGAGCCAGGUAUCUAUCUUUUCCUAGAUCAUCACCUGAUGCAGCUGUUUACAUGAUCCAUCUCAAAGAUCCCCACGAAGCCAUUGACUACACAAACAAGAUCAACAAAGAAGCACUUGAAGAGUCAAUCAAGUAGUUCAAAGCCUCCUAGAAGGAAUUUCAUUUGCCAAAGCAUGUAGAGACUACAUGAUCGGCCACUUCUUCUAUGACAGCAAAGAUUCUAUUCAAGAGAUGAAAGACUUGUUCACACACGCCCAAGAAGGUAGACCAUUUCGAAAUCUGCACAAAGUUCAAGACAAAGGUCAAUUUCUUAUAUCUUGUGAUAUUAGAGGUGAAAGAUUUCUCAAUAUUCUUUGUGAUUCUGGAGCUUGCAUUAACAUGAUGUCCAAAGCAACUGCUUUGAGACUUGGCAUUAAGCACAUUUCAAAUACCAUGACAAAGAUUAGCUUAGCAGAUGGUUCAAGUGCAACACCAAGAGGGAUAUCCCGAGAUAUUCCUCUAAGGAUUGGAGAUUGCAUUGCACCUGUCGAUCUAUACAUAGUGAAGACCAAAGAUGACUCUUAUCCACUUAUCCUUGGAUGGUCUUUCUUAGCAACUGCUGGAGCCAUCAUGGAUUGGCCCAACAGGAGAUUUUAUUUUGCAAAUAUCGACAAGGAUAUCUUCUAUCAAGCUACACCACUUAAGAGCAAAGGAGAAAAGCAGAAAGCCUAGGCCUUUGAACCAGAAGAAAUCUGGAGUGAUGAAGAACCUGCAAGACAGAAGAGAAGGAUUUCGAAAAGGACUUGUCUUAGGACAAGAUCCUAUUUGAGCUAAGUCUUUUUCUUUUGCAAGUGUAGCUAAGGACUAUAAACCAAAGCGCUUGAUGGGAGGCAACCCAUUUAGCUACUUAUUUGCUUCUGUUUAUCUUUCUUUUUCUAUUAAAGUUUUGGUUUUUUUAUUUUAGACAGGCCUUAGUAUGCCACAAAAAAAGGAAGAAAAAGAAGAAAGAGAGCUGACCGCAGCCAAAGGAGGUUCAACCGCAGCCAGCAAGCAUUUUGCCGUGGCCACGAAGCUUUGAACCGCGGCCAGCACCACUCGGCCACCCUUGGCCAUUUCCACCUCUACCUUGAUUCAAAUCCAUCCAAGUUGGAUCAAGCACCACUUCACAUCAUCCACCAUCCACCAUUCAAUAUCCUACCACCUCCACAACCACCUCAUAAUCCAUCACCACACCAGGUAAGUUUUCUUUUCCUUAAUCUUUUUAAAUUUUUUCACAUACUCUAUUUCUCAUCCUUGCCUGAUUUAUUUCAUACUGGGGACAGUGUGAUUUAAGUAUGGGGGAGGAUUUCAUCCCUUUCUAACCACUUUUUCUUGCAUGAGCCUUUGCAUUCUGCAUUUUUCUUUAAAAUUUUUCAAUUUUUUUUUCGAUUUUUCACAAAACUUUUCAAAAUUCUUUUGAGUUUCAAAAAGUGUUUUCAAAGGUCAAAUACAUUUUAAGGGAAUAAUGACAAAAUCGAUGAUGAUAACCAACCUGUUUGCUUCUACACCAAUGAUUCAUAAAAAGCUCUUUCAAGGUUUAGUAUUAGACUUGGCGGUAGCUGGAGUACUUACACUACGAAAUCCUACCAGAAGACUUCUAUUCAUGAAGAUAUUUUCUAACAGGAUAUUCUAGCUCAUCUUACUUGGACUUAAUCUUGACAUCUAAUUUUCUCAUCAAUGGUUUUAAGAAGGCAUCAUGAUAUACAUCUAGGACAUCUUUAUCUUAUUGUUACCACUCUUUGUUGUCCUAGAUGGCCAGUUCAUCUUUAGCUGGUACCUCACCUUUAACCCAAACCUUUAUGUUCUAACCUCAUGCAUUCUCUCUUAAGUAUAUAUUGACAGAUAUGUGCAAAAACGCCGUAGAGGGAGGAACAACAUAGUUUUCAGUCAUUCAUGAGAAAAACUGAAAAAGACCAGAAGGGAGUGUGCCAGAAAUCUUAUGAUUCCUCAGAAAAGCUCAUUCUUAUAAGUAAAUUUCAUGCUUUUUAAGAUUAAGUCAAAAGGCAGUUUCCCCUUUCCCAAAAAAAAAACAAAAAAAAAAAGAAGGAAAGGAAAGAAAACCAAAAGCCUAAAGAGUCUUAGAAGCCGAAAUCAUUUGAGCCAAGGCAAUAGGUAUCCACCUAAGGAGUUAUGGAUUCACAACCUAGACAAAAAAUCCAAGUCUGGGGGAACUAUAAGGAGAACCUGAAGAAAGGAGAUCAGAAAUCUUAAAGCAAAGAGAAUGUGACUGAAACAGUGGGGGCAUUUACAGUUCCAUCCUCUCUUGCUGUUUUGCAUAAUGUCUUGUCUCUCCAGAAAAAGGUAACCCUAAACACAUCAAACCUUACCAUUAAAAAGCCUUUUUGAUACCUAACCUUGAAUGCCUUGUUUGAUAUCCUUUUGAUGAGAAUCACUGAAACCUUUAAUAAAUGUUAAGAGCUAGGUGACUGGAAGUUAGUUCUAAGUGUGUGGAUUUUUGCAUGACGGAUUAACAGACUAGUUAUGUUUGUAUUUUGGUGAGAAUUUUCUAGACUUGAUCUGAUUGACGCAUUGUCCAUAAUUAAGGUCUAGAAGUAUGGUUGCUGAUAUUUUUGAGUUCCCUCUCACUUUUGUUGAAUGAUAUUUUUCCAGAUUUGAUCUUGUUUUGUUUGAGGACAAACAAAGUCUUAAGUCAAGGGGGGGGGGGGUUGAUACCACACCUGAUUUUGACCCAUUUUCACCAUUGAUUUCAAUGCUUUUUCAAAGAUUUUAAUCAUUUUUAGUAAUUUUUAUUAUGAUUUCCAUGUAUCUGUAGUUUAAAGGUUCUUUUCAGGAAACUUACGGAAAAUGAUGGAAAAAUGGAAGAAAUCUACUUUUUUAAGCUCAGAGUCAGACCGUCAGAAGUUCAGCCUCAAAUGAAGACUUUUUCAACGUCUGAUCUAGUUCAAAUUUGGAGACAAUCAAGAGGAGACAACCAGAUUUCCAUAGCACUUUACAUCACAAAGAUUCAAUUGUGCAAUCAAAAGAUACAUGGAGAACAAGCUGACCCAGUUUACCGGUCCUGGAAGACUCUCACCCGCGGCAAAAUCAUGUUUUACCUGCCCUGGAAGACUCUCACCCCCGGUGUACCUUAGGACGAGCCACAAGGCCCAACAUCAAAGCCCACUUCGCCAUUCCUCUUCAGAGAAGCCCUAAAUGAGAUCUGGAAGACCUUAGGACCUAUAAAUACAUUGUUUAGCAGCCCCAAACAAGUGUGUGCUCCUGUAAUGAGAUUUUGAGCCACCAAGCUAUGUGUUAGGCGAUGGAGAUGGGGAUUCUUCCCCAGAUCCAUUGUUCUUUCUCCUUUCUAUUCUACUAACUUUUCUGUUUCAUUCUUUUGCUUUUUUCUAUGUCUUUUAUUAUUCCUUGCAUCAUGUAGAUCUGUCCCAGAUAGUCAAGUUGUUUUAAGAGUCAUCGAUGAGCAUAUAUAUCGAUUAGGAUUUCUAUAGUUCUAAACCAUAUUCUGUAUCUCAUCUCUUCUAAGUUGUUCAUAUUUCAUGAGAGUAGAUUCAUGACCUAUUUUCUGAGCUUAGGAUCGAUCAGAGCCACGAGAGUGUUGUAUCAGAUCAUCCAUACCUAGCUUCAGAAGAACAUAGUCGCUAUAGGAGUCGAAAGCUACCUAUAUAGAAGAUGAGAGCAGACGAAUUCAAUGUCUAAUGCAUGAUCUUAUUUCUGUCAUGAGAGCGAGAGUUAAUUGUCAGAUCUAAGUGAUUAGUUGAUUAAGAUGGCGAGAAUUGGUUAAUCAUACAUAUGUCUAUUCUAGUUUCAUGCAGAUUCCCAGAAAAAGAUGAAGAUAAAUCGCCCGGAAGCUAAUUGGAAAUGCCACCAUACAUCGAUUAGAGUAAACCGGAGAAGUCUAAAUCGCACCCUAUGAGUUUAAGAGUCUUUAGUUUGAGUCGAUAUGCUUGAGAUAUUCUUUUAACAAUUCAUCCUGCAUUGCAUUUUAUCUCUUGUGAAUAUUAAAUUAGGUUUAGUUUAGGACUUUUAACCAAAAACCCCAACACGUUUAUUGGUUUAUGACUUUGCUUACGUUCCAGUUUGUUGUUUCUUGCAGAUUAGACAUCCUCUCUGUGGAUCGACACCCUAAGUUCUACAAUGUACAUCUGUGCACUUUCAGAUUUUAGGGUUUUAUACAUUUAAAUCUUCCUUUAUGGACCAAUGGGCUUGGAUGAAAAACAACCCUAGGCCUGUAGCUCAUCAACGUUCCAAAAUGCACUUUACCGUGCCGGAUGUACCAGACGUCCCUUGUAUCAGAUGUACCUGAUGCACGCUUGCCAGAUGUACCAGAAUUCCCUUCUAUCAGAUGUACUAAACGCACCAAUAUUAUGCCAGAUGUACCAGAUGCACUCUUACUGUGCUAGAUCUACUUGGUGUUAAGUAGAACAGGUGUCUCUACAGACCAGACGUCCCUUUGGACCAGAUGUUCCGUCGGACCAGACUCCACUGCGGACUAGAUGUUAUUUCAGACCAUACGCCUCUUCGGAUCGGACAUUGUUUCGGAAUAGACGUCCUUUCAGACCAGACGCCUUUUACCAGGCUCAUAUACUCCUCCAGAGCCAGAUGCCUUUCACUGGGCUCAGAUGCUCCUUCGAGCCAAACAACCCUCACCGGGUUCAGACGUUCCUUCAAGCCAAACGUCCCUUCGGACCUGUAGUGUAUGAUCCACCAUAUCUUCGAAGCCAUAUAUCUCUGUGGAUCCAACCUCAUUCCUUGUAAGCUGAUCAUGACAUGUACUACGGUGAAUAUUCUCAGAUGGUGUCAGUUCUGACAGAUCAAUUUCUGUCUGUAGCUCUUGAAUCUCUUCGUGUAGCUCAGAAUCAGUCUCGUCACGAUAUAUAUACAAAUCCACCUGCAUCUGUAACUCCACCUGCUUGUCAAAGCUACUGUUCUCUGUAGCAGCUGUGGUUAAAGGUUCAUCUUGGAACCUUCUUUCUGAAUCAACAUUAGAGAACAUGCACUUCGUUCUCCGCAGCAGCAUCUGAUUCAUCUGCUCAGAUACACCAUUCGGUUGUGAUGUAUCCGUAACUGCAUGAUGUUGGACAACUCCUUCAUCCUUGCAUAGCUGAUUGAGCUCUAAUGAACAGAAUUUCUCACCUUCCUCUGACAGAAUUUGCACCUUCUUUUCACCUAUACGACCAAAGCUCUUAUGCCACAGCUUUGUUAUAUCUUUGUGGUGAAUUUCUGAAGAUGCAACAUUCACAGAACCUGUAGCUGUGGAACCUCCACCCAUACCCUUGUGCCCUCCUCUGCUGCAGGUGAAAUCACCUUCAUCAUCCUCAUUUUCAUUCAAUGGAGCCGCAAAUCUCUAUGACAGAUAACAUCUUCAACUUUCUUUUUCAAUUUUAUCGAAAAAUGUGAGAUUAGACGCAUAUAGAAUGGGAACCAUCUCUAUAAAAACAAUAGAUUUUUUUUAUGAAGAGAUAUCUGAUGUCCAAUAUAAUUUGUUGUUAUAAUUUGUAUCUAGUUUUUUUGUUAUCAAAAUGAAUGUUCAGAUGAGAAUAUUGUAAAUUAAUUCUUAUCAUGAUAUUUUGAAUAGCAUAUGAUUUUGAUUAAUAUUAAUUAAAAUCAUUAAAUUGAAACUAUAUAAUAUUGAUAAGAACUUUAAAAUUAAUUAUCUAAUGAUACAUAAUUUUAGUUAAAUUUUAAAAUCACUUAAAAUGCAUAAACUAACAGUACCCAACUCAAUAUAUCUUGGUGAAAAGGUUCUUAUGUAAAAGUCUAAUUAUAUAAAAAUUAUAGUAAGGAAAAAGAAUGUGCGUUCUUUCAAAAAAAAAAAAAAAAAAAAAAAAGAAGAAUGUGCAGUGAGCAAUCAUAUAUUCCCUUUAAAUAGUCUCAGUACUGUCAUUUUGAGUUUACCCUCUGUCUCCCCUAUUUUUUAUAUUUACAGUUUUUUAAUAUUAGGUUUUUACUAAAAUAAAAAUUUCACAUCGUGAUUUAUCAGAUGGAUCCUAUCCAUUUCUCAAUUUAAUAAAUAAUAUUUCUUAAAACUUUUCUUGUCUUACUAUAUUCUCAGCAUUUUGUAACACUAAAUAUUUAAAAUGCAAUAUUUAUAUCUUUUUGGACUUUACAUUGAUAUAUAUAAACUUUCGAAUAUUAUUAUGUUAGAUACACAAUUUCUAACCAGAGAGGAAUUUACAUAGUAAAUAAAAUGAUAUUUAUCAUAUUUUUGUAAUUCUAUUAGAAUUAUCUACAUUUUUAUAUGUGUAAAGCUCAUAUAAUUGGUUUUGCAUUCUUAAUGAAAGUUUGUUAAUAGAACUAAUAUAAUUAUAUCAUGGAAGAAAAACUAAUAGAAUUUAUUUUUAAAAAAUGAUAUCAAUCUAUCAAUUUUAUUGGGCACUAAAACAUUUAGGGUCCUGCCAUUGACCAAUACUGUCUACCUCCCAUAUAUCUACCAUUAAGCCAAUACAAUUAUUUAAACACUUUUGUAGAGAAUUUUUUUCUACAUUUGAUAUUUAUAGAAAGACCUAAAAAGAAAUAAAAUCUAUACUUUAUCAAUAAUAUAAUUCUGAAAGGUCGUUUUGAGAUAUAUGUGAUAUAAUAUUAUAAUAUUUAAUUUAUAUAUGAUAUCUAAACUUUACCAAAUACUAAAGUUUUAUAUUUUGAUUAGUCUACAUUGAGAUUACAUAUUGUUUCAUUAAAAUAUUUUAUUUUUAUUUUAUGCUAAAUUUAUAAUCAAUAUUAGAGCAUUUAUUACUUGGUCAUAGGUUUUACUAGAGUUGAAUUUCAUAAAAUAUUAAAUUUGGUCAAAUUAAAAACAUUUGACUCAUUUAGAAUAUGUAAAGAGUAGCGAGCCAAAAGAAGUUGAACUUCUCAAAUAUAAAUUAAAUUUUCAAGCGCAAAGCUCAUGGUACAAUCAAGAAUCUGAAUAACUUUUGAAUGGCCACAUUAUUGUAUAUGAAUUACAUACAUGUAUAUGUAUGAUAGAAUAUAUAUAUAUAUAUAUGUUUUCUUGGUAGUGAAUGAGAGGAGGAAAAAAAAUAAGAGGAGAAACAAUGAGAAAAAGAAAAGUUCAUAAAAACAAAAAUCACAAAAUCAUAAAGUUUUUUCAUUCUUAUUGUUCUGCUCUUAUAUUUUUUUCCUGUCUCUCAUUCACCACCAAAAAAACACAUAUAUAUAUAUAUAUAUUUAUGUAUUUUUGUGUAGCAUUUGACCAUGCCAAUCCGAAAUGCUAAACAAAAAUAUAAUUUAUUUUUCCAGAUUACAGGCCAAGAGAUAGUAUGGAGAUAUAUAGAAGGCGAUGGUAUGAGGGUUACAAAAAUAUUCAGACUAUUAACUCAGAUUAAAAAUUCUGUGAGAAGAAAAUUCAGAUAUGAUUCCAGAAUUAUUUGUUGAGAAUCAAUCCAAAGUUCCACAUCGGAAGUUUAGACUAAUAUGGUCUAAUAUAUAAGUAAUGUCCAACUCUAAUUAGUAUGAGGUCUUUUGGGAAGGAGCCCAAAAUCAAAUCCGUGUGGGCUUUGUCAGUUGGGCCCAAAGCAAACAAUAUCAUACUAAUUGAAAAAGUUGGACAUGCGUUUUUCAAGCCCAAUAUUAUUCAGGUGAAAAUUUUCAUCACUAUUUUCAGAAUGAUAGGCUAAAGUGUAAGAGACAUUUUAUUAUUAUUGUAUCUCAAAAAACGUGGAAAUGUUACAUAAGCCUUUAACAGUCUUUUUAAAAAAAAAGCUAUAUUCAAGAUAUUUAGUUUUUUUUUUAAAUAAUAUAUAUAUAUAUAUAUAUAUAUAUACACAUAUAUAUGAUAUUUAAACUCUAUAAAUAAGAGUUUGAUAUUUCUAGUCCAGAUAAAGUAACGUUAUAAUGCUGCCCAAAAAAUAAUACUACAAAUAAUUAUUUUCUAUUAAAUUUACAUUAUAGCAUUUUUUUUUAUAACAUCUAUUUUAUUAGAUAGUAAAAAAGUAAUACAUCAUGUUUACAAGCCAUUUUGGCAAAGAUUGAAAAACAUAAUACAUAGCAUGAAAACAACAAUACAUAAAAUUAAAAACACAAAGCACUAAAUCAAAGAAGAUGAGUUUAAACGAUUUUUUUCUUCGAAUUUUUCUCGCUGAAAAAGUGUCCACACCUUCUUUCCUCGUAAUCGCAUUUGAUCUAAAGCGAUUUUUUUUUUUGCUAUGAUCCAUCUUUUCUCCUGUUGUAUGUUAUUGACACAUUUCCAAGUAAGAACUAAAAAUAUUCUAUGAAUAAGAAUCCAAUCUUUUGAUUCUUUCCAUAGAAAAAAUACUUGAAAUUGCCAAUUUUCUACGACUGUACGUAUGUCGCCAUACCACAAGGAGUUUUCAUCUUCCGCUCCAAACCCUUGUCCCCUCCAUGGUGGUUUCCAUGUUUGUUGUUCCCAUAGUAAUGCCAUAUCCGGCUGAAUAGAAUCAUCGAAGAAGAUCAAACAUAAAACCCAAAUUCGCCAAUCAUCGUUUCCAUGACUCCUAACUUCUCCUAUUCCCGGAUCAAAAACCCAAAUUACAUCUCCAAACCAUACAGUGGAGGAUAAUAAAAACUGCUGUGAGUGUUGAUUUAAUCUUGGAUCAAUUUGAGUAAAUUGGUUCAAGAAAGAAUUAAAAUCCCAACCAAAGACUUGACGAAUUAUAGCAUUUAUUAUUUGGUCAUAGGUGUUACUAUAGAUGAAUUUAAUGGAAAUGUUAUUUUUGGUCAAAUCAAAAUUAUUUAAUAUUUAUAAUAUGUAAAAAUUUGAUCCAAAAGAAGUUAAAACAUAAAUAGAAUCUCAAACCACAUGAUACAAACAAGAAUCUGAAAAAAAGUUUGGAAUCUCCAAUAUGAUAUACAUUUGCAUUAUUAAAAAAAAAUGGCACUCAUUGUUCUUCUCUCAAUGCUUUUUUUUGUUUCCUUCUCUCAUUCACCACCACGAAAACACACACACAUAUAUAUAUAUAUAUAUAUAUAAAUAUAUAUAUAUGUCAUGCAUUAUCAUUUAUCAUCUCAUCGAUCUAACUCAUGCACUCAGGAUCAUCAUCAAAAUGAUCUUCUCCCUCCAUAGCCUCUCUUGGAUUUCCGGCUUCCAUAUUCUGUUUUCCGCAGGGCUCCAUCACAUUAUGUUUCUGACUUGUCGACACUAGAUUCAUAGAAAGUGAUUGAUCAUGGUUGGUGUCAGGGGUUGAGUCCAUCAGGGUAUUAAAGGCAGAGUCAUGUCCAAUACACCUCGUCGAAAAAAGAAUAUCUUCCUUAGAAGAGCCAAAAUUUCGAACCAACAGUCAAUAUCCAUCUCAUUGACGUCAAUGUCAAAAUAAAUCAGCUCUUCGAUCGGAACAUCAUUAUCUUCCACAUAAGGAACCAAAGCCAUAUCUUCCAUAUUAGUUUCAAGGGAUUGGGUUUUAUUGGUUUCAAAAGAAGCAUGUCUUCAAGAAGAAGAAAACUUUCUUCAGAAAACAACCAAUCUAUCUGGUCUGUAUUGGUUUCGAAAAUGGUGGUCGUAUUGGUUUGAGAAGAGGUUUCAUAACUUGUUUGACCAGAAGCAAAACCGACAUGGGAAAUGACAUUUUGAGAAAGAACAUGAUUUUCUCCAGAAGAAACCAUACCCAUCUGGUUACUGAUUUCAGAGGGAAUCAUAUUUUCAGAAGCAACAUAGCCUUCUACUGAAGAAAUAUUGGUUUCAGGAACAUUUAUGUUCAUAUCAGUUUGAGGAAGAACAUAAUUUUCUAGGGUAGGAAUCCAAUCCAUCUGGUUCAUAUUGGUUUCAGAUGACUAAUGUUUUCUGUUGAUGGAACACAACCUAUUUGGUUUAUAUUGGUUUCAUGAUCGCGAAUAUUAUCGGUUGAUGGACUCCAACUUAUCUGGUCCAUAUUGGUUUCUAAAGUGUUCAUGGUAAAGUCUAGAUCUGGAAGAAAAUAACUUUCUCCCAUAAUGCACAGAUCAGCUUGAGGAACAUAAGGCUCUGGUAUAUAAAUAAAGUCUAGAUCUAGUUGGUUCCAAUCGAUUUCAAGAACAGAUGAGCUAGGUUGAAAUGGGUUAGGUUCAGACUGAGGAAUACAAAUCCCGGAAGACUCCAUCUGGAAUGCAUCUGUGUUAGAUGCACCAACACUUGAUGACAAACCAUAAAGAACAGGAGGGUUAUCACUACUUAAGCCACUAUGGUUAGAUGCACCAACACUUGAUGACAAACCAGAAAGGACAGGAGGAUUAUCACUUAAGCCACUAUGGUUAGAUUCUCCAACACUUGAUAGCAAACCAGAAAGGACAGGAGGAUUAUCACUACUUAAGAUAAUAUGGUUAACAUCAUGGAUAGAAAAAAUAUGGGAAGGUGGGUUGUUACUUGUGGCUGAAGGAGCGUAAUUGACUUCCAUAGGUGACUUGUUUAAUAGGUUACCAAAAAGUGAGUGUUUACUCAGAUCCAAUUUUCCACCUAGAUGAAACUUGGGCACCAUCUUCGCUUUGCCCUUUUCAGCAGAUUUUUUGAAUGAAUCUGCAUACAAGAAAAACAAAAAACAUUAUUGACACAAAGAUGUUGAAUUGUGAAAAGUAUAUAUAUAGUAAAAGAACAUGACUUGCAUUGGUCGAUGGAUCAGGAGGAUGCUUCCUUCUUUUUCAGAGAAUACCACUUUGUGUUACUUUCAACGAUAUUCUUUGCUAAGUUGGAUGCAUUGAAAGGAUAUUCAUAGUCUGAAGGGUAGUUGAAUGUCUUAUCUGUUGACCUCCAUUCAUUCCUCGACAACGAAUGGUUCAUUAGCUUAACUUGUGCUUUGUAUUUCUGAAACAAUUAAUUAUAGAAUAAAACAGGUUAUCAUAAGGCUAGUAAAAUUAUAUAUUGAAAAAGAGUGUAUAUAAAUGUAUAUAUGAACCUGAAGGUGGCUACCGACUUGGCAAAGAUUCAAGUCUGAGUCAUUCAUAAUGCUCAAUAUGGAUUUAGGACAAGAAUCUGUAGGAUAAAGAACUGUAAUCAAUUGGUAGAAAGAAGAAUUGGUCAAAACAAAAAAAAUCUUACCUUUUGCACCCAAUAUGGAUAUAGCUGUUAAAAAUAUCAUUUGGCGCUCCUGGAGUCAAUACAUUGCAUCGUCUUCCAAUAUUACUCUCCAUAUUUAUUCCUUCCUCUCUCUUGUUCUCAGCCUCAGUGGGAUAAACCGGUUUAGUUUUUCCUUCAUCAAUUGCUUUGCCUUUUCUCUUUUGGUAUGUUUCAGGGGUUGUAAAUGUUUUGACGAAGGGUCGUCUUCCUAACAAAGAUGACUGACUUGUUCUCUGCCUCUUUAUGGUUUCUCUAAGAGAUUCAAUCUGAUUUAGUAUAUUUUUCUCCACAACUUUCUCUUGUUGUUCAGCGAUGUUGAUUUUCUUUAACUCUUGGCUCUUCUUAGGUACCACAUGCUGCCAUAGGUUUUCGAUGUCGUUUUCAGAAAUCGGCUUCGUUAGACAAAAACGUGCACUUUUUGUCAAAAGAUCUGAUGUUUCCUUGGUAUUUAUUUCUGGACUUAUCACUUUAACAUCAAAAAAAUAGAUAAAUUAAUCUGUGGAAGAAAGUAACAAACAGUGUAAAGAGUAAGCGCAAGAAGAAUGUGUAAAUGUUUGCUUACGUAUAAGAGGAAUUUUUUUGUGAAGCAAAGCAGUGAGAAAGGAAUGUGAAUCUAUAUGAGGCAUUUCAAUGUUGGCUAUCACAAGUCCAGUAUCCUUUUGCUUUUCGAUCAUCGAUAAAGCCUCACUUGCCUUGUUCAAGCUCAUCACUAGUACAUCAAUUUAUAUAUUAAAUAUUUACAAAAUCCAAAAAAAAACAUUGUUCAAAACAAUAAUCAAGUUUCUUCCAUUUUAGUUUUAGUUAUAUAAAAAAGUUGAAAAAACAAUAGAUUAACACGCACAUUUUCGAUUAUAUAUGAUGAUUAGCUAACCUAAUACAUAAUAUAUUAUUUAUAUACAUAUUAAUAUUUGAAAGAAAUUUUUUGGGCUAGAACCAGACAUCUAACAAUCUGAUUAUCCGAUUAAAAUAUAGAAUAUAUGUAUUAAAACUCAACAAUUAUACAUCUAGGGUAUUCAAUAAAAAAUUAAUAAAAAAUUAGAGUUCAAAUAUUUUAUUAAAUUCUUUCUUAUCGAUUUUUAUUUAUUUACAAAAAAAUAUUUUAAAAGAGAAAUUUAUAUGCGUAUUAUCAAUUAUAUUUGAUGAUCGACUAAUCUAAUACAUAAUACAUUAUAUAUAUAUAUAUAAAUAUUUGAAAACUUUUUCCAGCUAAUACCAAACAUUCGAAAUCAUGUUAAGAAAUCAUUUCUAAAUAACAUCAGUUAUCAAAAUCUCAUAUAUAUUCCACAAAAUAUAGAUUAUACUAAAAUUUAAUGGUUUUUACAAAAUAGUAUCCAAUAUCUAUGACAUAUUAUUAUCCAAACUAAUAAUCGUAGGUGAUUAGGAUUUUCAACAAAAGGGUUGUAAGAAAAUCAUCUUCAAAACUGAGAUCCAAGACCAAUCAGUAGCCUAUAGCUUUAAUAUUCUGUAAAUUAAAUUAUAAAUUAUAAUUUUCUAUGCGAAUUCACAUUUCUUCAAAUUUGUUCAGAGAUCCUGAUUUAUACAAUGUAGAAAUCUCAAGAUCUAGAGACGUUGAAUUAUAAUCAUCAGGAAAAUAUUCAGCAAAUGCUAAAAUUUACCAUACCAAAUGUAACAAAUUAGAAUAAUACCGUUGAUAUGUAAAUGGAAAAAUGAUCAACAUCAAUAUAAAUGGUAAACAAUUUUUUUUUACCUUUAUACGAAAAUUGCUUAAGCAUUGAAGUGAGAAAUUCAAUUGAUGUAGUGUCAUUAUCGAUUAGCAGAACUGAAAUAUCACCAAUGCGUUCAGGAACUAUGUUUCCAGCCAAAUUUACGGUCAACUUUUCAGUCAUAUUUUCAAAAAUAUAUGAUAUGAAGGUUUGAAAUAAUAACCGAGUUAAGGGGAAAUAAGCUAUUGCAUGGACGUAUAUAAAAGAAAGAAUAGAAAUUGUAGACCCAACAAGGUCAUAAAUUGCAAACAACACCAGAUGAAGAAAACUAUUUUAAUUUCUAUCAAAUAUAUUUCAUUUCAUCAUUGACCCUACCUAUAAUAUAUUUUUUUAACUCUAAAAAUAUACCCAGUCUAAAGUAUAAUCUAUUAGUUUAUAUAAUUCAAAAUCUUAUCAAACACAUGGUAAAUGAUAUUAUAGCAUUGGUAGUGAUAAAUAUAAUUAUUUUGGGAAUAUUAUAGUGUUUCUUGACCGAUAUAAUUUGAGAAUUUACACGAUAGUCAUCGACUUAAAAAUCCAUAUAUAGUUAGUUGUUAUUUCAUUUAUAAAUUUUGACUAGAAAUAUACAAUUAGUUCAUUUUUUAUACAAUGUUUUAGAAAAUGAUUAAUUAAUUAACAAAAAGUAAACAUAGAAAAUUUUUGUAUAUGCAUAAAAGAUUUUUCAUAGAAAAAUUUGGUGGAAUUAUGUUUUCUCUUUUUUCUUAUAAUUAGAUAAUAUUUUUAUUUCAGUCAGGAAAAAAUGUAGCUACAGAUGUGUUUUAGAUUUAUGGAAGCGUAAAAUAUUCUUAAUAUGUAAAGUAAUAUAAGUUCUCUAUAUAUUACACAAAAUAUAAUUCAAAUUUUGUUAAUAGUUUUGAUAUCAAAAGUUAUUCAUGCAUGCGUUUUACAAUUCGAUCCUUACCUUAUUUCGAGUACAAUAGGCAUGUGACUGGUCAAGUUUUUAAACUCUUAAGUAACUUCCAUAAUUACGUAGAAACUCAAAAAAAUUCAAGAAUAGAAUAAGGUUCAUCUUUUUAUAAAUGUUUAAUUUGAAACGUAUGCUAACACUUUAAAAUAAAGUAUUGAUAAUUAUAUGUUGUGAUGUUGUGUAAUGUAUAACUAAUGCUCGUUUAGUAGUGAACUCGUGAUCAAUGAUGGACUCCAGCUACAAGUUUGUUUUCCUUCCGAUCUGUUCACUACACUACAAGAAAGAAGACCUUUUAUAUUGGAAGAUAUCGACGUAAAAUCGACGUAAUGGGCCAUUUACGUCAAAUUAGUGACGAAUGAAAAAUUAUCGUAAAACAAUCAUCGUAAAAGAGAAAUCGUCGUAAAAUCUUCGUAAAUUACCAACACAAUAAAAUCGUCAGAAACAAUUCGUCGCAAAAACGACGUAAACGUUCCAACGAAAGUACGACGAAUUAAUUUUAACACAACAACGACGUAAAAUCGAUGUAAAAUUACAUCGGAUUUACAACAAUUUCGAGACGAUCUAUUUCGCAAAAGUCAAAUAAAUUUAUUAUAGAUCGACGUAAAAUCGUCGUAAUAUAUCGACGUAAAGUCGACAAAAAGUAUAUGGACGUUUUAAAAUAUUUGCCUUUAAUUAGACGUAAAUUUACGACGAGUUUACGUCGAAUUAGAAAAAUAAUUAUUAAAAUUGGAUUUUAAUUUAAUUAUUGAAUUUUUAAAAUAAUCAAAUAAAGGAAAAUUUAAAUUUAAAUUCGAAAAUAAUUCAUAAAUUAAAAUACAAAAUUAAAUACAAUUUAAAAAAAAUAAAAACUAAUCUACACAGUAAAUUCAUAAUCGUCGAGGUUGAGAUCGACGUCUCGAGGAGGCUCUCCGUCAUGUCCGUCCGUCGCUGUUGUACCAUCGUUUCCCGUCUGCACUACGGGAUCCGAAGUCUGACCCUGCGUCUGCUGGUCAGAAGGUCCACCCGCAAUAAUCCUGUGUGCUCGCCGUUGCCUCUCUCGAAAGUGGAUCGUGAAUAUUUCUAAUCCGUUUUUGAAGUCUUCAGUCAAUGACCCAUCAACAUUUUUGGGCGUAUACAUCCACUUUCGUAGAUCGUAUAUAGACAUUUAAAAACAAAUAAAUGACUUUUUGUUUUUGAAUUUUGAUAUAAAUUUCAACUACUAAAAAUUUUACUCAAACAUUCAAAGACUCAAAAAAUUGUGUCUUUAUAUGUUUUUUUGGUUGAUGGAAUAAUGAGAGAAGAAAUGGUAUAUAUAGAUUUUUUGUUUGGUUACCAACAUAUUGCCAUUGAAUAUUAACAUCAAAUUUACGUCGAAAUAAAAUUUACAUUAUAUUUACAUCGAUAUUACGUCAACUACAAGAUGGAGGCCAAUUCAUCGUAUUAUCGAUGUAAAAUUUACGACAAUGUUACGACGAAAUGUAAUUCGUUCUUUAUUCGUCAUAAUGUUGUCGUAAGUUUAUGACGAUUUUACGAGAAUACUAUUUUAUAUCGAAACGACGAAAUAUUUUGACGUCGUACGUAAUUUCGUCGUAAAUUUACUACGACCAUAAAUCGACGUAAAAAAUUCGUUGGAAAUGUCCCUCUUUCUUGUACUAUACAAGGAUUCAUAAAUAAUGAAGCUGUUUUGUUCGGUGAGUGCAUUAAUGUGAGUUAUACAAAAUUUACAUUGGUUACAAAAUUAGGAGACCAUCUCCAUCGGUUUGUUAGGUAAUUUAGAUAAUAAUAAAAAUUAAGAAAUGAUUAAAAAGUUAACAAUUCGGGUUGUUAGGUUGUUGUGGAAGAACCCAGGAAUAUAUAAAAACGUGGCACCAUGUCAUUGGUGGAAGAUUUUUUAUGUGUGUGGGCUAAAAAUCAGGAAUAAGCCCACAUAAAAAUUCUUAAUUUUUUUAAUUAAAAAUUCAUAAUUAAAAAAAUUUUAAGAAACCCAAUCCCAGGUUUAGGGAUGGAGAUGUUUUGCGUGAGUACAUUUUCUCUUUCUUAUAUAAAGUGGAUCCACCAUAACUCCUAAACUAAAUGAGACACACGAUGAGGCCGCAUACAGUGUGGAGAAGGUACACAAAUUCCGCAUUAUCGUUAUAAAAGCUAUGCGAAGUCUUUAAAAAUUAUCUACCGUUCUAAUAACUAACUAAAGUAAUCACGAGAAAUAGUAGUUGGAUAACAAGAUUUUUUUUGUCUUUCUGCUAAGGGCGAAAAAAGUAAUGUAACCUGAGCUCUUUUGCAUCUCUUCUCCGGCGAUGCCGACAGCGUCGGUCUCAUCCUCUUCUCCUCAUGGGGUAGAAAAAACAACCCAAAAAAUCUCCACCAUCCAAACCCUUGUGCCCUCCUCUGCCGCAGGUGAAAUAACCUUCACCAUCUUUGUUUUCACUCAAUGAAGCCGCAAAUCCCUUUGCUCACUCAGUGGCGGGGGAUCCUUCGUCUCUAGCACAGCAAAUCCUUACUGAUUCUGAUUCUCUAGCCUCGACUGACAGCAACUCUCGCUCAGAUCCAAUUGUGAUAGUUCCUGCAACAGUCCAAGCCCCCAAAUAUCAUUUAUGUAAAAGUUGUUGAGACAACAGAUCCAGAACUGAAGAACUCAUCAGUAGAGGCACCAAUUGUCCCGACAAUCCCUGCCUCUGAAUCUGUUUCCGUGAAAUAGUCUUUGGCUGCAGUUCCGGAAAUCCUAAAAAGUUCAAAACCCACUGUGAGUGAUUUGUGGUCAGGAUUAUUCAAAGGUGCUACGAAGCAACUGCAGAAGAAAGGCACAACUUUUACCUUCCCAUCCGAUGAAGCUUAUGUGAAGAUUCUCAAAUAUGUAAUCGAAAAGAACAAAAAAUCCUGGGAAAGUUUCAUCUGUGGGCAAUUAUACACAGAUACGCCCUCCCAGAAAACUGUUCAUAACAUCGUGAAUGGAAUUUGGAGUAAGCAUUUCUGUGAUAUUACAGUAUCAAAGAUAGAGGGCAAUACCUACCUUUUUCAGGAUACCAAAUCCUUCCACUCGACAAUGGGUUUUAACUCAGAGAUUAUGGCAGAUAGAAGGUAAAACGAUGUUUGUCACGAAUUAGGAGUCUGGCUUUGUUCCAUUGAAGCCCGAGCUCUCGUUGUCCCCUAUUUUGCUGAACUAAGAAAUGUUCCUCUACAGUUCUUCAAUGAAGACGGCUUUGAACACAUUGCGGGAUUUGUUGGAGAGCCAAAAUGUCUCCAGCCUAUAACUGCAAACAAGACAAAUCUGUAAGUAACGAAGGUAUUCACGAUAACUGAUCCUCGUAAACCUCUUUCAGAAGUUGUCAAUAUCCAAUUUGAUUCUGGAGAGAUCAAUAGAGUUUUAGUGUCCAGUCUGUGGAUGCCACCACUGUUUUAGUUCUGUAAGAGGUGAAUCAUCAUCUGAGGCAGUGCAAUGAAGCUCCAAUCUUUUGCAAGAAGUGCAACUCAAAAAUUCACGUGGAAGAGAAUUAUGCAAGAACCGUCCUACCUGAACAAAAUAAUCCAAACUCCCAUAGAAACAGAGCCAAGGGAUUAGCUGGAAAUACUUAGAAGUGGGUUAAAGUUGCUGAGAAAUCAUCUGCCAAAUCUGUCAAGUUUACUGAGUCUUCACUGGGGAAAGAAAACAAAUCUUCAAAGGGAGAGUUCAGUGGCGCUGUGGUCUGGUACAUCUUCAAGGGAAGAUCGACGAAAAUGUUAAAGGUCCUCCUAUCCCUGACACAAAAAAAUCAUCAGGAGUGGAAUCAGAUUCUUCGGACGUUGCUUUUGUGGACUUCAGCAAUGUUGUAAACCUGCAGGGUGAGCAGAGUGAGUUCGCAGAGGUAGUUUCAAAAAAGAAGAAGAAGGAUAAGAGGGACAAGAGCCCCAACAAAAGCAGCUUAAUAAAUGGUUGAAGAAAAACAAACCGUUUUAUGAGAGUAUUAUAGAAACCCAUGUGAAACAGCCUAAAUGUAGGAAUUUCAUUAAUAGAUCGCUUCCCGGCUGGUCUUUUGAACAGAAUUAUGAUUUCUCCAUUUAACAAGUGUAAAGGCUGUUGUGGUGGCUAAGUCUUUGCAGAUGAUCACCUACAAAGUUAUGUUUCCUGAUGUGCAGCAGUGGGUUAUUUUGUCAGUGAUGUAUGUUUCUACAGUUGAGACUCUGAAAAAGGAUCUUUGGGCAGAGCUGAUUGUUUUGUCUUCAAGCCAGACUGUUGAAGAAAAAGAAUGGAUGGUCAUUGAGGAAUUUAAUCAAGUUCUCCAUCUACAUGAGCAUUCAAGAGCUAUUACUCUUAAUGUGGAUAGGAGGACAAGAGAAUUCAGGCAGUGUUUGUUGUCGGCUGAGGUGUCAGAUUUGAACUACUGAGGAAACACAUUUACUUGGUGGAAUAAAUGUAGUGCCAGGCCAACUGUGAAGAAGUUGGACCACAUUCUUGUAAAUGAGGUUUGAUCUACUUUUUUCCCCUCUUCAUAUGCAAUAUGUGGAGAGCAUGGUUUUUCAGACUAUGCUUCUUGUGUUGUCGUCUUGGAGUUGGGUUCUCAAAGGCAGAGGAGACCUUUUAAAUUCUACAAAUUUUGCCUCCAGAACCAAGACUUUUACCCUCUGGUUUGUGAACAUUGGUUCUCAUGUAACAUGGUGGAAUCAGCAAUGUUAUGUCUCUCAAGGAAGCUUAAGCUUCUGAAAAAUGUCAUAUGUAGAUUCAGUAGAGAUAAUUUCUAGGAUUCAGAGAAAAGAGUUAUUGAAGCUCAUGAGAAGCUUUUGCUUUGCCAGUCUUAGACUCUAACUGAUCUGUCUCGAACAAAUGCAAAACUGGCGUUUGAAGCACAAAGAAAGUGGCAGAUCCUGGCAAGUGCUGAAGAGUCCCUUUUCUGCCAGAGAUCAAGUGUAACCUGACUUAAAGAAGGUGAUUGUAACACUUCUUAUUAUCACAGAAUGACUGCAUCUAGGAAAGCCAUAAAUCACAUUCACUUCCUUAUUGCACCAGAUGGAGAACAUUUUGAAUAUCAAACAGGAGUUUAAGAGCAUUGUGUUGAUUAUUUCUCACACUUUAUGGGUUGUGAGGUUGGUCCCCAGAUGCUGAUCUAGUCGGAUAUGGAGCUCCUCCUUCCAUUUUGAUGCUCUCAGGCCCAAAAAGAGAGUAUGAUAAAGAGCUUCUCGAAGGAGGAAAUCAAACACCUGCUUUUCUCAUUGCCAAAAAACAAAACCAGUGGACCUAAUGGGUAUUCCGCUGAGUUUUUCACCUGUUACUGGAGUAUUGUAGGGCUGAGGUAUGUGAGGCAGUUGAAGAAUUCUUCCGAUUUGGAAAGCUGCUUCAGCAAUGGAACACUACAACUUUGAUCCUCAUUCUCAAUAUCACAAACGCCUCUUCAACAUCUGAUUUCAGGCCAAUAUCCUGUCUCAACACUAUUUACAAAGUCAUAUUCAAGUUAUUGGCAACCAGAUUUCAGAAGAUCCUGUCUCAGGUAAUAUAUCCCUCUUAAUAGGUUUUCAUGCCAGGUAGGCUGCUUGCAGAAAACGUUCUACUGGCUACGAAAAUUAUGCAUGGCUAUAACUGGAGGAACAUCGAUUCCAGAGCAAUGCUUAAGGUGGAUCUUAGAAAGGCAUUUGAUUCAGUAAGAUGGGACUUUGUCCUCUUGACCUUAAAAGCGUUGGAGUUAUCAGAAAUAUUUGUUAAAUGUAUCAGUCAGUGCAUCACAACUCCCUCGUUUACAAUUUCAGUUAAUGAUAUCACCAGAUGCUACUUCAAAAGCGCAAAAGGAUUAAGGCAAAAAGACCCUCUCUCUCCUUACCAUUUUUCCUUGCAACGGAGGCCUUCUCAGGAUUUUCCACUCUAGAUUUGAGGCUGGGUAUAUCCAUUACCAUCCCAAGACGGCAGAACGGAACAUAUCUCACCUGAUAUUUGCAGAGGACGUGAUGAUUUUUUUUAUGGUGGGAGUUCAUCGUUACACAGCAUAACUGAAGGAUUAGAAAACUUUGCGUCUUGGUCAGGAUUGCACAUGAACAGAGACAAGACUCAACUAUUUCAGGCAUGAGUAAACCACAUUGAAUCCACUGCAAUGGCAAGCUAUGAAUUCACUGUAGGUUCACUAUCAAUCCAAUACUUGGGUCUUCCCCUUAUGCAUCGUAAACUGAGACUCUCUAAGUAUGACCUCCUUUUGGAGAAGCUUGCUAAUAUAUUCAGAUCUUGGGCUGUUACAACCCUCUCAUUCCCAGGGAGAGCUCAGCUGAUUGCUUCAGUGAUAUUAGGAACCGUCAACUUCUAGAUUUCCACGUUUAUGCUCCCCAAAGGUUGUAUUAAAAAUUGAAUCUCUGUGUGCUAGGUUAUUGUGGUCUGGUAGUAUUGUGACAAGAUGAGGAGUAAAAGUAGCAUGGUUUACUGUGUGUUUGCCUAACUCUGAAGGAGGUCUGGGCCUGAGAAAAUUUUCUGUGUGGAACAAGACGCUAUGUCUGCGGUUCAUUUGGUUACUAUGCUCUGAAAGUGGAUAUCUCUAGGCUGAAUGGCAUAUCAGAGCUUCUGGUUGGUGGAGGCAUAUUCAGCUGAUUCAUGGACGUGGAAAUCUCUAUUGGAUCUUAGACCAUUGGCUGAAAUGCUCUUAGGAAAUCUGUUGGAAAUGGACGAAAAACAAAUUUUUGGUUGGAUUUUUGGACACCUCUUGGUCCACUAAUUAAACUUCUGGGUAAUGAUGGCCCGAGAAAUAUCAGGCUCCGUCUUUCUGCUAUAGUCGCAGAUACAUGCACAAUGGAGACUUGGAGAAUCCCAUCGCCAAGAUCUGUAGCACAGCUGAGUCUCCAUAUGCACCUAACGACUAUCAACUUACCUUCUUCCUCUCAGAUCGAAGAUGACUGUUUUUGGUUGGAAAAUGGUGUUAAGUGCAGCCAGUAUUCCUCCUCUAAGACUUAGGAUGAUCUAAGGCCACAACAAGGUGAAACAGUGGUCUAAGCUUGUAUGCUUUAAAGAUUGUGUUUCGAGGCAGGCUUUCAAUAUAUGGAUUGCACACUUGAAUAGGCUCCCCACUAGAGCCAGAAUAGCUUUUAGAGGAACAAAUAUAUUCACAGAUUGUUGUCUUUGUUCCAGAGACGAGGAAACGAGAGAUCAUUUGUUGUUCAGUUGUGCUUAUAGCUCGGAAAUCGGAAAUCUGGAGGCUGAUACUUACAAGGUUAGACCAUACCCAGAGUCUGUUCAUCUUGUGGUCGGAGUUGUUAUCAUGGAUAAGUAUGCGUUCUGAUGCUGCCCCUUAUACCUGAAAGGUGGUGGCUCAGGCUAUGGUUUACCACAUUUGGAUGUCAAAGAAACAAUUUGCUGCACAACUAAUAAAGGAUUCCUGCAUCCAGCAUUUUCAAGUCCAUUGAUCGUGUGACUCGAAACACCAUUACUACGAGAAGACAAAGACGUUGCUUUAGCAACUUUAAUGUCUCUUUGGCUUCAAUGAAACAAUAUAAAAUCUAAUUUACUGUGUAUUGUUCUCCUUGUUUUUUAUUUCUUUUUUGCCAAGGAAGUUUUGUAACAGGUUAGCAUCUUUUAUAACCUUCUUUUCAUUUUAAUGAUAUUAACAUUCAUAGCAAAAAAAAAAAAAAAAGAAAUGGUACUUGCAAUGUUUUACACCAUGUUUGUGUUUUAAAAAUAUUUCACACUACAUAUUCAAAGUUAUAAUGCAGGAUACAAUUUGUUUCUAGUCGAAAAGGUCAAAAAUAUCCAAAUUUUUUAUGUGGUGUUUUCAAGAAUUAUGCUUUUAAGAGAAUUUAAGAAAAUCGGACUAUUCUAUCGAGAUACUAUAACUUAUUCAACAGAAUAUCUAAAGCAUUUGUUCUGAAAGCAAGAAUUCUAGAUGCUCUUCUCCCCAUUUGUUUUUGGUCGAAUGCCACAAAAGAUGUUGAGAAUUAGGCACAAGAACCGGGUUCAAUAAGUUGACAAAUACCAAACCGAGGACCGACGUGGAAUCGUGGAGAAAAAGUUACAUUACAAUAAAGAUAAAUAAAGAAAAGGGAAGAUGACGUAAAGCUCAGAUUUGGAGCCUAACGAACUCCACGUCACCGCCUAAGUUCAUCCAUUGAAAUUUGACGGCGUCUUCUACUCUUCUAUCAUAACCCUUCGUUCUUUCAUGUGAACCACGUCACCGCCAUUCUCUUUUUUUUUUCUUUCUUAAUACAUUUCUCAAUAUGCGUCCAAUAUCAUAAAUAUAAUAUAUAUAUAUAUAUACAAUUUAACCUAUUAAGGCAUUGCAACUUGUAGUGAACUUUCAAAGGAACUUGCAUCCACAAAUUUAAACAUUUUUGCAUGUUGUAGAAUUGAACACGAAUAAUAAAGUGUGUAUUGAUGAUACACUUGUGUUACUUAUUUGACAAUUUAUUUGGUUUUCUUAGAAAAACUGAAACUGGCUUAUACAGUAUGUUUGUACACAUUUUUUGUAUUCGAAGAAAUUGGGGCAUCAUACAGUGACAUUGCUAUUAAUGUUUCUUCUAUAUCAAACCAAGUGAUAACAAAAUAUAAAAAGUAAUAAUGUUGACUUGUAAAUAAAGUAAGAAAAUUAAAUUCUGUCAUUUCAGAAGAGGAAGUAUGUCACAUGUAUAAUAGAUCAUCGAUACUUUUCAUGAGAACUUCCACAAGAAAGCCAUUGACUUCUUAUACCUUUCUCAAUUUUCCAGCUUGACCCAUUUUUUUCUUUUGAAGUUAUGAGAACUUUAUGUAUAAAAACAUUUUAGACUAGACCUCAAGAAAAUUCAGAUAUUUUUAUAAUUUGUGAAAAAAAUGUUGAAAUAAAUUGAUUGGAUUAUUUCUAUUACUAACGUUAAUCCAGUAUUAUGGUGGUCUAUAUUAUUAUUAUAGCCACCUAUACGGAAUGUUGAUGUGCCAAACAAUGGAGACACACAUUGUGUACUUGGAUUAAUGAAUAAAAUGACAUGUAUCAGUCUAUGGGACACAUAGUAAACUAGAUUAUUUCAUACCUAAAAUGCUAUAAUAUUUGAUUGAUAAAUGAUAAGAACAAAGAAAAGUUCUUGCAAGUUUGAAAAAAAAAAAGAGAAUAUCUUGACUCGUGCGGAUCUCAAACUUUUCUUUUCUAUCCUCUUCUCAAAUUAUAUUCCAAGUAAAACACGCAAUUACCAUAAGAGUUAAACAAUAUAAAAAGAGUUCUCAACUAAAUCUUCCAAAAGAGGCUUUCUCUUAUGGUUCACAUGUAAGUAUAUACUUUAAUUUACAUAAAAUUUAAUUUAACGAAUCCUAAUGAGCCUAUUUUCUGAACACGUACAAAUCAAUUUAAUGCAUAUCUUCACAUUUACACAAGAAUAAAGAAACUACACAUAUUUUUACUCCAUUGCUUCUGAAUUUAUAUAAUUCUUUCCAUUUAAUAUGAUUGAGUUUUUAUCCCUCUAACAAGGAAAAAUAUUAUAUAUAGAUACAAGGAAAGCCCAUUUCAUUAUCUAUCUUCUCUUUGAUUCAGCGAGCGAAAUAAAAACAAAAGGCCAAAAAUGGGUGCAGACGCAAUCCAAACGAACGGUCACGAUCCCGCCAAGUUAACCGCCGCGAGAGGGAUCCAACGGUUGAGAUGCGCCGUGAAGAACUACGAGUGGGGCAAACUCGGACCGGACUCACUUGUUGCGAGGCUCCACGAGGCGAAUUCAGGGGACCGAGUCGACCCGGUGGUUCCUCACGCCGAGUUGUGGAUGGGUACUCACGAGUCGGCACCGAGUUACGUUGUGAAGGAAGAAGAAUUCGGGUCGGGUCGUAAUGGAUCCGAAUGCAUGGUUACAUUGAAAUCAUGGGUUUUGGAUUAUCCGAAUUUACUCGGGUCUAGAGUCGUGGACAAAUGGGGUUGUGAUCUUCCUUUCCUCUUCAAGGUAUUAUAUUUUAAAAGUUUCCAAUUAAAACAUGUAUAUUCAAAACCUUCUUUCAAAAAAAAAAAAAAACAUGUAUAUUCAGAUUCUGUUUAUGGUAAAUCUUUUUGUUUUUCCAGUUUUGUCUCAUACAUAAUUGUUCAGGAACAAAAGUAUUAUUUAUUUGAUCCUAAGAUUCUCAUUUUGAAUAUUUUUGCUCUGUUUUGAGGAUUUUACUUUUUGACUCUGUUUUCUUAUAAAAUUUCUAAUUAAAAGUCAAAACAUAUAUAUAUAUAUAUAUAUAUAUGUAUUUUUUUGUAAUUUCAGAUUCUGUGAAUUGUCAAUUUCUCCACUUUUUAUAUUUACAUAUAUUAUAUAUACAGCCAAUUUGUCUUGUUAGAUACAUAUAUAUUUUGGCUCUGUUUUGAGGAUGAUACAUUUUAACUCUGUUUUCUCAAUUUAUAAAAAUGCAUUUCUUUUUCUCUGUGUGUUUUAAAUUUAAAACAUAAAGGUUUGAUUCUAAUGAAUAAGAGUUUGAUGUUGAAAUGUGCAAAAAAUAAAAACAGGUUUUGUCAGUGACGAAAGCAUUGUCGAUUCAAGCACAUCCAAACAAAGCCUUAGCAGAGAAAUUGCAUAGAGAAGAUCCUCUUCUUUACAGAGAUGCUAACCAUAAGCCUGAGAUUGCUCUCGCCAUUACUCCUUUUCAAGCUCUUUGUGGUUUCGUAUCUCUUAAUGUACUAGAUUCUUCACUUCUCUGCAAACAUCUAAUUUAGUCGGUUUUUGAUUUAGAUAACUUCGGUUAUUUUGCCUAUCACAUAUGCUAAAUCCAAAAUUGAACCGGUUCUGUACCACUUUUGAUAUCAAAUUCAGGAGCUGAAGGAAGCCAUCGCCAAUGUACCAGAAAUCACAGAGCUUGUCGGAAGUAAAGCAGCAGAUCAAAUCUUCAAAGUCAACGAACACGAUGGAGACGAAACAAGUGUUAAAUCCGUUGUCCGUUUGAUUUUCACGCAAUUGAUGUCUGCAAACAUCAAUGAUACAAAGCAAGUCAUAUCACAGAUGAAGAUUCGUCUGAUCUCAGAAACAAACCACCGUGAGUUAUCGGAGAAGGAGAAGUUAGUAUUGGAACUAGAGAAACAGUAUCCAGGUGACGUGGGCGUGAUCUCAGCAUUCUUCUUUAACCACGUCAAGCUUAAUCCCGGAGAGGCUUUGUAUCUUGACGCCAACGAGCCACACGCUUACAUUUCCGGCGACUGUGUUGAGUGUAUGGCGGCUUCAGACAACGUUGUUAGAGCUGGUCUCACUCCGAAACACCGCGAUGUUCAAACUCUGUGUUCUAUGCUGACCUACAAAUUGGUAACUUUCUUUACACGUUAACGUUUUUUUUGGUUUAGUUGGCUAGCAAAAUUUGGAUUGUACCCUAACCCUAACCAAAACCGAAAAUUUAUUUUUCUUUGUUUGGUUAUUGAUUAAUUGUACCGGAUUUGUUUCAGGGCUACCCGGAGAUUUUGAAAGGAUUUCCUCUGACUCCAUACAUUACGAGAUACCUUCCACCAUUUGAUGAGUUUGAAGUGGACCAUUGUGAUCUUCCUAGAGAGAAAUCCACUGUUUUUCCGGCCAUACCAGGGCCAUCGGUUUAUCUGGUUAUUGAAGGAAAAGGGACAUUGAAAACCGGUUCAUCUCAAUUGUUGGUUAAACGAGGAGAUGUUUUGUUUGUUCCGGCACAUAACGAGAUUCACGUAACCGGAGAAAGUGAUGUGAUGAAGCUUUACAGAGCUGGAGUCAGCAGCAGAUUCUUUCAAACAAUGUAGACUAAGUAAAGAUACAUAUAUAUAUAUUUAAUUUGUUAUCUAAAUGUAACCAUAGGGAUCAAGGCAUUGACGUGAUCAUAGUCAAUAUUGGUCCAUGUUCUUUAAUCCUACAAAUGUCCCAUUACGAAUCAAGGGUUCAAGGGGUUGUUUUUCUAUUAACUUUUGUUGUUUCUUCUACACCUUUAAAAUUGAAUUAUAUAUGUAAAAUGAUUAUAAAACAAUGUUUUUUUUUUUACUUUUUGCUAUUGUAGUGUAGUAACUAGUAAUUAUUCUUCCUUUACCUGUUUAAACUUUAAUUUCUAGAACUACUCUGCAAAAGCACAUUUGUUCAGUUGUAAUAUGUAGAGAUCGAACCACAGAGACGAGAAAUUCGCUCAAUAAACCUAAUAGACUCUAAUUGCGCUAAGAAGAAAUAAUGAAAUUGAGAGCAGCAAUGCAAUAAAAAACGGUUUUAAAUUCGAUGGGAAAGAAUUAGGCUCAGGGUGUUUCACAGAAAAUCAGAGAAUGCAGACAAAUCGAUUAGUCAUGAUUCAGAUUUAAGCGCAAUUCUUGAACUCAAAUCACGAAAUUAUAAUUAACUAACUUUUGUUGCGAAAAUUAUUUAAAUCUAAAUCCCAGAAUCCCAAUUUUCUUUGCAAUCCUAAAGAUAUAAAUUAGCCUUAAGUGCAGGUUCGAUAUGUUCACAAAGUGUCUAAACCAAUUUUUUUUGUGGAUAGCUACUUUGCUCAUCCUAGGUUCUUUCGGAUUAUUCAAUUACAGUUUCGUGUCAAUCAAUUAACCUAAGAUCUAAGUUCUAGGUGAUCAGUCCAAAAUUAGCUUUAAGAAUAAUCUAUGGUGAAUUACUAAUCAGAUUAUGACCCCUAACUAAUUAAUUAUCUAAAAUUCAAAGGGAUCCCUUAUGAGAACCCUAAACCUAACAAACAAACUACUCAAAUAUGGAGAUUGAAUCAAUAAACAUGAAUGAAUAGAUUGCAGAAAGCAGUAAAAAGAUUAAUAAACAGAGGUUCAAAAUCUUCUCUCAAACAAACAGAGUCUCAGACUUGUCUCCCUAAAAGCUCUCUCAAGAUCAAUAGAAAUCAAAAGUCUCAAAGAAAAUCUAGAGUGUAGCCAAAACACGUGGCUGAAAACCCUAUCAAAAGCUAAAACACAUGUUGGACUUCCCUGUAAAUAUUGGAGACUUCUGGGCUCAAGAGAUUCUUUAAAACUUAGACAAAAUCACGUUUUUCCUUAUUCACGACAUUGGUGUCGAGCAACACCAAAACAUAUAAAUCAUCUUUCACGAAUUUGAUCCCUGCUUAGUUCCAAAAUGCUCUAAAAUCUCCAAUUAAACUCCAAAUACAUUUAAGACCUGAAAAGACUCCAAAAAAUUAAAAAAACACUAAAGAGACUCUAUAAAUAAAACCUAUCAUGAUCAAAAACCAUAAAAAAAAACCAUGAUAUAUCAUUCUCCAUGAUAAGCAUUUUUCGAAUGGUCUGAGUCGAACAAAACAAUGUUCUCUAAAGUAUAAGGCCAAUUCUUUUUGCCUCCCUCGUCACUUACCUUUUGUUUGUGGCUUCCAUGGCAUAGACUAGAGAGAUGACCCCGAGAAGACCUAAUCUAGCACGCAUUUGUUUGGAUGUUGCUAAUGUUCCGUUUUAAAGUACAUAUGCAAAGAUCGUGGAAAGUAAAACGAACUCAAUCUUAAGUCUUGAGACAAUGAUUUUUGCCAAUUUUCCGGUAAGCUUUCCCGGUGAAAUCUUUCACUGGAAUGACCUGAUUAUGGAUGCGCUGGAAACUUGAGUACUAUAACGUGAUAUACUUAUAUGUCAAAAUCGAAUUUAAACUGAAUGAGAAAUGAGGAUUCUUAGAGAGUAUAGCUUGAAAGCUUAAAAAUAACAUAAGUUACCAAAUGACAAGUGUGAUUUGUCCCACAUUAGCAAUUCAACGUUACAUUUUGAACGUAGUGUUACGUUCUCCCCUUGAUAAUACUCAAUAGAUCUGCUUCUAGCCUGUCCCAACAAUCUGAUUCGGAUUGAGAAUUGCGGUUUUUGCGAACGUUGUUAAAGAUUUCCAAAAAAAAAAAUAUUUCAUUACGGCUUUUCACAUCAAAUCGGAAAAACUCUGCUUAGUUUUAACUUUUUAGGGAAUUUGAUAAAUAUUUGACAAACUUUGUGAAAAUAACUUUUGGAGUAGCAAAAUUCCGCAAAAAAAAAAAAAAAACUCAGAGUAAACUUACUGACAAAAGAAAAAAGUUUCCUCAAGUUGGUUUAGUCGCAUUCCUUUUGUCAAGCACUUAAUCCACUACAAAGACGUUUUGUUGUAAUUUAACCGAACUGAACAAUCAUUCCAAAUCUUAAUAAGCAGCUAAAGAGAGACAUUGAGAGACCAAGAUAAACCGGUUUACUUGCACCUACUUGCUGUUUGUUAAAGCUUUGGUUACAAAAUGUGAAACGAUUCCAACCGGACAGAAGAGAAGGCACAAUGAAACCGAAUGCCUCGUCUCAAUCUUAUUCUCUAGCCCAUCAUUAAAAACUUGCCUGCAGAGAAACACUCAAAACAUGAGUUAUAAGAAACAUGCUAGGAUCAAUCAGAACCUGAAAAGUGCAAUAUAGUACCUUGCAGCGAAAAGAUCUAUAACAAGAAGAUGAAUCCAAGCAGAAGCAAGAGUCAUUUCACUUGAGAACAUUUUCGCUAUUCCAGACAACUGCAAAUGAAAAAAAAAAAAAGAAAUUUUAGAAACUGGAAUGUACACAUUUUCUUGUUUUCGAUAUUUCCUGAUAAUUGGAGGAAAAAGCUAAAACCUCUGGCAACAUGUAUUUACUGGAAAACAUGUAUUUGAGAGUAUCAGGCGUCCAAGAAAGGUAUAACAAAUACGCGUAUAAUACGCCUAAGACGAUAUACGGUAUGCUACUCUCCAUACACUUUUUGGUCUGCACAAGGAGAAAACAUACACUCAAUUCAAUAUGAACUUUUUUGAUUCUGCACAAGAAGUUGUAAAACUGCUAAACAAAAACUCACAAUUUCAGCUUUUGGAGCUACAACCAUUAGAGUGUAAAAGGGUAAAACAGCGGUUGUUCCAACCGCAAAUACACUGCUUGCAAUCUGAGAAGUAGCUAUCCCUGCACAAGAACAUGUUAUGUCUCUGUCCUACUUUCAAUUUAAACAUUGAAGAGCUAUAGAUUCUAGACAUAUAUCAAGCCUCUUUUUGGUUUAUAAUGUUUCAGUUAAGAGACAUUACAUGAAGCUCGUACACCAGAGGAUUUCUUUUGAACAAGAGAGGACGAGUUCGAUGAAACAUUAGGGAAAAGUGCGAUUUUUGAUCCUCCGAUAAAGCUCCAACGAUUCUGAAGUCGAAUACUUGACGAACCAACGCAUAGUUUAGACUUGACAUUGCUGAGAGAAAGACUUGUUAUCGAGCUCUUAGCUGAAAUGUUGCGAUUCAUCAUCUGAAUCACCAAACAAAAUGAAUCAAUCUGAUGAAAUAUAAAAAACUUCUUUAUUUCUUAAAAUUUAGGAAUCUGAGACCAAAAGCACUUUGAUCUGAACAACAACGAAUCAGGAACAGAGUUAGGUUCUGUAACAGGGACCCAUGAGGAGUAAAUUCAACUUCUUUAAUGUCUGCGUCAAUUCGAUCUGAUUCAAAGGAUAAAACUUUAAGGUUACCCAUAAGGAAUCUGAACUAUUCGAAAUUGUAGAAAGCUCGACAUAAGAAUCUAAUCCGACAAUCUCCAACAACUGUACAUACAUACAUACAUACAUACAUACAUGAUACAUACAUACAUACAUACACACACAUAGAUAUAGACAUAUAUCUGCGUAUACCGAAAAUUGGAGAAGAAUUGAAAAAGGAAGAGAAAAGGUAGAUACCGAGAGAGAUGAAGAAGACAAAGGCUGGGAAAUGCAAGAAGAUAAAGCCAUCUGCGAUUCAAAUCUUCAAUAGUCUUUGCCAGAAUUUGGCCAUUCAUUACCUUCUUCAACGAGCUCUCUCCAUAUAUAUAUGUAAAGUAUCAAUUUUUAGAGAGGAGAGUUGAGAGUUUUCCACUGGUUGAAAAGGGUAAGUGGAGAAGAAGCUAAGAGAAAAAGUGCUCACUCACUCUUUCUUCAUCAGUGUGGACAAUUAUAGUUGCUCAUCCACCCGAAUUUUUUAAAAAAGUUUUGGUCUUUUUUAGUUUUCCUCGUUUACUUCUGUUUCGCAUAAACAAAAAAAAAAGAAAAAACCAUUAUGAGUUUGAGUUAAUUUUAAAGAGAAAAUCAAAUUUAAAGAUUCUUUAUAUUGUAUGUUCAAAAUUGCAAUAUAUUAUGGAAAAAAAGAGAAGAUUUUUUCCUAAUUUUAGAUAAAAACCUUUAAUAAAAAUCAAAAAAUUAUUAAGAUAUUAAUUUAACCUUAUAUUUUAGAUAUUGUUCUUUUUCUGGUCAAUAUAAAAAAUUACAGUUUACCAUUCUUAUAUAAAAAAAAAUUAAUUAGACUCAAAUGGAAUGUUUUUAUUUUUUUAACAAGAAUAUAACUUUCAUAGAACCUAAUACCCAAAAAAAAAACAUUUGACCCGACUAAAUUAAAAUUCAAGGAAAGAUUGGAGCUUUGAUCCUUUACUCGAUAAAAAAAAGGUUCUUCAUUGUAUGAUCAAAUGACUUGUCGGAUUGUAUUUGUAGGUGGCUCAUCGUAGGAUUAAUAGCUUCUCGGAUUUUGUUAUCCUUGUCUUGUGUUUUGCUUUUUCCGUGAAGAUCAAAAUUUUCUUCUAUACAUUCCUGCUAUAUAUUCCAUCAUGUUCUACCGGUUACACUUAUAAGCCUAUAAGGAUAUCUAAUCUACUUUUUUAUUUGAUAAAAACCUAAUAUCUUUGUUAAUGGAUAUUUGUGCUUAAACUGAAUUUAGACACAACACAGGUCUAGUUCAGGACAGAACAAGACAAAAGUGACAGUGCUACUUCUACUCAGCAGUGGUUGUGACUUCCUCUAAAGACAAAAGUUGGUGUUUCCACCAUUAUUUCGGUUUUGCUUUUAUUAUAUAUUUUAUUUUAAUUUAUUUUUCGCUACAUGAGAAUUGCAUUAACGAAGGACAUUAUAUAUGAAAACAAAAAAAAACAAUAAAAAGAUAUACAUACAUGUGUCUGACACUCAUUGUUUGUGAAAUCAGUUGGGAGUAAGAUAGCGCUUGAGUGGGCUAUUUGGUAUGAUAGCUUCUCUCUAUUGAUGGGCCUUAUUGACCCACCCCACUUCAGUUUUGUUUAGUCAUUCACAACAAGAAAAACAUGAAAACAAAAGCAACACUUGUCUUUUCUAUCUCUCAAUCUGUAAGUGGUAUAUGCGCAUUUCGUUGAAUUCGAUUGAGACCAAAACUCUUUUAAAACAUAAUGUAUAGUUCUUAGGAUUAUAUGGGGAAAAUAUAUGAUGUCUCAAAGAUUUUUCAUAACAUAUUAUAUUCCUUAUAAUAAAAGGUCACCUGGGGUUUUUCUAUAAACCGGGGUUUUUUUAUAAACCGCCGGCUUUUCUAUAAACCGCCGGCUUUGUCUCUGGAGAUGUUGUAUCAUCUGCCGGCUUUGUGUAAUCCGUUGGCUUUGCUCUGUAACACUAUGGUGAUCAAUAUAAUAAUAUUCAAUGAAAAAAAAAAAAGGUCACCUAAAUAAUUAAAAAUUUGAAUUUUUACGACUCAUAUUUCUAUCCUAUUCCAAAGCUAGGAAAACAACAUAAAGAGUUACAAAUUCUUACUAUAUAGUACUUCCAACAAUAUCUUUAUGUAAAUUUGUGCCAAGUCAUUUUGAGUGGAAAAUGUAGAAUAUAUGAUCCACAAGAUCCUUGAAUAUACUUGGGUAUAUAGAAAUAAAAAUGAAUAUCCGAGACUCUUAUCUACAAGCCUAUCCUUAAGAAGGCACGUCCACGAAUGUUUCUAUCACAGAUUUUCAGUGGGCCAUCAUCUAUUACUUCAAGAUAUUGUUCUAAAAAUGCAUCUCAACCUCAAGCUUACUAAUCAUGUGACAAAAGUGAUAAUGUGAAUCUAGUUUUUCAAAUAAUUUCUUUAUUCAAUGACGACUAAUCAAAGAGUUGGUAUAUUUUUGUAUUCACAGUUCUUCAACUUUGUAUAUUUUCAUAUCUUGAGCCGCAUUGUAAUUUGUUUUUUCUUAUAUGCAAAAUUCAAAAUCAAAGAUUUAUAGAACAUUACAUAUUUAUUUCAUCAGACAUUUGAGAAUCCGAUAGAAAAUGUCUCGCAAACCGGAAAACAAACGUUAAAUCCGGAAAUUAAAACAAAACUAAGGAAACCAAAAAAAAAAAAGCAGAUGAUAAAAUCAAAGGUGAGGAGGGAGAUAAAGUUUUUUUUUUUUGAUGUUUACACAAAGCAAAGAAGCAGUGAAAUUAAGCAUCGGUGAAGCUUGCUGGCUUGUAGGCGAUGAAACUGAUGCACUGGACUUGACGGGUGUUGUCGAAUCCGAUGAUCCUAAUGAAGGCCUGGGGGUACUCCUUCUUGCACUCUUGCACUUCCUUCAACACUUGAGCUGAGUCAGUGCAUCCGAACAAAGGAAGCUUCCACAUUGUCCAGUACCGUCCAUCGUAGUAUCCGGGAGUGCUUCCGUGCUCACGGUGCACAAAUGCGUUCUACAAAAACACAUUACACAAAACCAUUCAAAAACAUAAAUCAAGAUUCUGCUUAGGACCUCUAAAUAGUUAUUAACUUGAUUGCAAGAUUCAUAUGGUCCAAGAGAUCAAGCUACUCUAUAAAUGAUUUUUAUUACCUCCAACUCGAAUUCAACACAGGGAAUCCACUUGUUGCGGAGAAGGUAGUCAACUUCCUUAGCCAAUUCAACUUCGGUUAGGUCAGGAAGGUAAGAGAGAGUCUCAAACUUCUUCUUACCAAUAGGAGGCCACACCUAUUUUUUGCCAUUUUUCCAAAAUCAACAAAAACAAUAUUAGUUUAUAUGAUUCGAUAAAUCAAAAACCCAUAAAUUUGUUUUUGGUAUAAGAGAUUUGACCUGCAUGCAGUUAACUCUUCCGCCGUUGCUUGCGAUGGAAGUAAUGUCGUUGUUGGCCUUACGGGUCACAGGGAAAGCAGCGGAGGACUUAAGUCCGGUGAAAGGUGCGACCAUUGUGGCCUGAGCCGGAGAAGCGACCAUUGUAGCGGAAGAGAGCAUAGAGGAAGCCAUAUUGCCUUUACUCUUUUUGUGUGUGACUUAGGUUUGGUCUAGUGCUUUGGUCAUCUAUAUAUAAUGGUAACAACAAUGAUAACAAGGUGAGGGAGUGAUCGGAGGGCUCA